CACAGCCGAGACCUGUUUUCACCAAUCACAUAAGCUCCUCUCCUCGCCUUUAAAUCCGCCACCGGCGAGGUGUAUUACUAUUUUCAUGAAGUAGUCAAAGAGAUCAAGAGAUGUCUGAAGACAGCAAUGCCACACGAUGGCGACAGAAGGCAGCCCCUCAACAAGUGUCACUGUAAGCGCUGCAUUGGGCGUCCUCCACACUCUCUCAUAUGAGCACAGAUGGAUUUGGUGUGUGUAAUGUUGGACCCACUGGUAAGACAAACACCCUUUUCCACAAAUAAAGACACUCACAUAAAGUUGCAUUUAACCCUUUCACGUAUAACGGUCACUACAGUGGACAAAUCUUCAAAGGUCAUUUUCUAUUAUAAAAAUAGAGGUUUGAUGUUACAAAUGCAUGUUAGCCACUACAGUAGACCCUGGAAAAUGAGUCCAACACUGGUGCCAUGUGGCCAUGUGUUGCAACUGCAGAAAAAACACGUCAACAUUCAAGAUGGCUGCCUCUGCUGAGAACAGACCCUCCACCUCUGGGAUUUCCACUGCUUCCUUUUAUAAAAGCAGAGCCCUGCAGGUAAAAAAAAUAUUUUGGGAUAAAGUAACAUCUAAUAAUUACUAUAGUUGCAAAAAAUUCCAUGCAUUGCUUUUAUGUUCUGAGGAAAUUGGAAUUUUCCAUUUGUCCACUAGGGUGGACAGCAUGCAUGACUUACACUAUUUCUACUACAAUACAUGCAAAUGGUGUAACUCCUUAUCUCUGCAAAAUGCUUGAUUUCAAGCUUACCUUUUCAGUUAAAACCAACCAUUUUAUGUUAUUAAAAGGUAACCUGUAUUGUAUGUAUCAAAAAAUUAAUGUUGUGCAUGUAUUUUAUAUUUUGUGCAUGCAUAGUAUAUAUUGUAUUUUGUGCAGCCUUUGUGCAAGUUUUGCAAUGUUUAUAAAACAUUUUUUGCAAAAAUAUAUUUUGUGCACGCAUUGUAACACACACACACACACACACACACACACACACACACACACACACACACACACACACACACACACACACACACACACACACACACACACUACUAACAGUGCAUGCACAAAAUAUUAUAAAAACAAUGGAAAAAAUAUAUAUACAUAUAUAAGAUAAAUAGAAAGAAAGAUUGAUUGGUUGUGCAAUAUUUUUCACAUUAUGUUAUUUAUUAUAUGCAGGGUUCACGCACAGAGAGGGACCAGAGGAAGUACAGAAAUGUAGAGGAACUGCCAUCGUCCAGCGAUGCAAUAUCACUGUGUGCCUUCUUUUCAAAUGUGAACUAAUGUAGUACAGGGCAUCGACAACUGAAUGUGUUUGGAUAGUCACUAAGGCACUAUUUCUUUUAUUAUUGUAAUUAUUAUUUUCAUGAAUGAUCCAAUAUAUGGCAUUUGUUUUUGCUUUGAGUGUGCUGGCUGAAGUUGUAGCACCUGGCCUGAAGCCUAAUUAGGCUCAUGGUUUCAGUUCGUUUGACACAGUUGACAGUUGUUGUUGCUGUUGUUUGACACAAGCCAUGUUUUGAAAUGUGCAUUUAAACAGAAUUUAAAUGUUUUAAAAUGUGAAUCUAAUUGUUUUGACUCCUUUUUGGGGUGGGGUUCUAUUAUUUGUAUUAAUACAAUUCAUUUUCUGUAAUGUCGUCCAAAUGCAUGUUGUCCGCUUUAGUGGACAUGUCACUAAAAACUUAGCAGAAACAGGUAAAAAAAAAAUUCCAAC